rnacentral:misc_RNA from 1 species
GAUGAAGAACGUAGCGAAAUGCGAUAAGUAAUGCGAAUUGCAGAAUUCCAGUGAGUCAUCGAAUCUUUGAACGCACAUUGCGCCCGCCAGUAUUCUGGCGGGCAUGCCUGUUCGAGCGUCAUUUCAACCAUCAAGCCCCAGGCUUGUGUUGGAGCCCUGCGGCUGCCGCAGCCUCCCAAAACCAGUGGCGGGCUCGCUAUCACACCGAGUGCAGUAGUUUACUCUUCGCUCAGGGCGUGUGGCGGGUGCUAGCCGUAAAACCCCCAACUUCUCAAGGUUGACCUCGGAUCAGGUAGGAAUACCCGCUGAACUUAAGCAUAUCAAUAAGCGGAGGA